CGAGUUUGAUCCUGGCUCAGGAUGAACGCUGGCGGCGUGCCUACUACAUGCAAGUCGAGCGAGUGCCUUUCGGGGCACAAGCGGCGGACGGGUGAGGAACACGUGGAUAACCUAACCAGAAGAUGGGGAUAGUCUCUGGAAACGGAGGUUAAUACCGAAUAAGCCCUUUGGUCCAUAUGGAUCGGAGUGGGAAAGGCGCAAGCCACUUUUGGAGGGGUCCGCGGCGCAUUAGCUAGUUGGUGGGGUAAGGGCCUACCAAGGCGACGAUGCGUAGCCGGCCUGAGAGGGUGUACGGCCACACUGGGACUGAGACACGGCCCAGACUCCUACGGGAGGCAGCAGUAGGGAAUCUUCCGCAAUGGGCGCAAGCCUGACGGAGCGACGCCGCGUGAGUGAUGACGGCCUUUGGGUUGUAAAACUCUGUCCAUCGGGAAGAAGAUAUGACGGUACCGAUGAAGAAAGCCCCGGCUAACUACGUGCCAGCAGCCGCGGUAAUACGUAGGGGGCAAGCGUUGUCCGGAAUUAUUGGGCGUAAAGGGCGCGUAGGCGGGUACAUAGGUCGGACGUGAAAGGCAUCGGCUCAACCGGUGUAAGCGUCCGAAACGGUGCGCCUUGAGUCCGGUAGAGGGAAGCGGAAUUUCUGGUGGAGCGGUGGAAUGCGUAGAGAUCAGAAGGAACACCGGUGGCGAAGGCGGCUUCCUGGACCGGUACUGACGCUGAGGCGCGAAGUCGUGGGGAGCAAACAGGAUUAGAUACCCUGGUAGUCCACGCAGUAAACGAUGAGUGCUAGGUGUAGGGGUGCUUGAGCACCUUUGUGCCGAAGGAAACCCAUUAAGCACUCCGCCUGGGGAGUACGACCGCAAGGUUGAAACUCAAAGGAAUUGACGGGGGCCCGCACAAGCGGUGGAGCAUGUGGUUUAAUUCGAUGCAACGCGAAGAACCUUACCAGGGCUUGACAUACUACUGAACACGGCUGAAAGGUCGUGGGCCCUUCGGGGACAGUAAUACAGGUGGUGCAUGGUUGUCGUCAGCUCGUGUCGUCAGAUGUUGGGUUCAGUCCCGCAACGAGCGCAACCCUUAUUUUCAGUUGCCAGCACUUCGGGUGGGCACUCUGGAGAGACAGCCGGCAAAAGCCGGAGGAAGGCGGGGAUACGUCAAAUCAUCAUGCCCCUUAUGUCCUGGGCUACACACGUGCUACAAUGGCCGCUACAAAGGGGAGCGAAGCCGCGAGGUGGAGCCAAUCCCUUAAAGGCGGUCUCAGUUCGGAUCGCAGGCUGCAACUCGCCUGCGUGAAGUCGGAAUCGCUAGUAAUCGCGGAUCAGAAUGCCGCGGUGAAUACGUUCCCGGGCCUUGUACACACCGCCCGUCACACCACGAGAGUGGGCUACACCCGAAGUCGGUGCGAGAACCUGGUUUAGGCCAGGACUUAGCCGCCGAAGGUGGAGUUCGCGAUUGGGGUGAAGUCGUAACAAGGUA
rnacentral:rRNA from 1 species